rnacentral:lncRNA from 1 species
AAACCAACACUCUCUCUCUCUAACUCUCAGGAACUCACACUCUCUCUAAGCUCCGAGAGCUUCUCUCUAACUUUCACCUCACUUCCUUCACAAAUCAAACCCCAAAAACCAUAUAUUUGGAAUCCUUGAGACCUAACGAACUCAAUGGUACCCUUGCAUGCGCCAUCAGAGCACUGUGGACUUUUCUGCCAUUGAAGCUGAGAGCUUCAAAGCUCUAAAACUCGAACCCAGGUGAGAAGUGUGUUCCUUCUUCAAAUUUCUGGGUUUAAUCAUGCUAUUUUACACACUGUUGUGUUGGUUUUGUGGUCAAAAUCGAGGGUUUUGACCUUAUCUCUUUUCUAUGCCAAGAACCCGGUUCCGACAACGAACUCCGGCGAGUUUGUUGCUGUGGAUUGCGCGGAUCCCUUCGAACCUAAACCCAG